CAGGGAAUAUUAGUAAUGGGCGAAAGCCUGAACUAGCAACGCCGCGUGUGCGAAGAAGGCCUUCGGGCUGUAAAGCACUUUUUGAGAGGAUGAGGAAGGACGGUACUCUCAGAAUAAGUCUCGGCUAACUACGUGCCAGCAGCCGCGGUAACACGUAGGGGGCGAACGUUAUCCGGAUUUACUGGGCGUAAAGCGCGUGUAGGUGGUUUGGUAAGUAGGGCGUGAAAGCUCCUGGCUCAACUGGGAGAGGCCGUUCUAAACUGCCGAACUAGAGGAUGGUAGAGGGAGGUGGAAUUCCGGGUGUAGCGGUGGAAUGCGCAGAUAUCCGGAGGAACACCAGUGGCGAAAGCGGCCCCCUGGACCAUUCCUGACACUCAGACGCGAAAGCUAGGGUAGCAAACGG
rnacentral:rRNA from 1 species